AAGGGGCCCUAAAAUCAUAACACAUCUUUGGAGGGAAAGAAGAGUUUCCCAACAGACUGGCAAAACACAAGCACACAUACAGUGCCCUGCUAAGGUUUGGCUGCCUGUGUUUGAGGUCUGUCAUGAUACAGUGGAAUGUCAUCUGGGAUCAGAGUGCUGUGAGAAGAGCUGGGAGCCAGCUGGGGCCUCCCCAGUUCCAUGGGAGCCAUGGCACAGAGCUGCCCUUGUCCUCAGUCCUCAGUCCUCAUGUGGGGUGGGCUCUAAGGCUGUUUGUGCCUGGCUGUGGCUGAUCCUGACUUGACUCCCUUGCUUUGCUUCAGACCUGGCACUUCAUCCCUGUGGGCUCACUGAUCUCCUGGCUCUAUGUGGUCACUGUCACCAGACCUGCUCUGCUCUUCUUGCUUGGGCACUGUGUCUGUGUGUCCCUUUACCAAGUCCCUGCUGUCCUCACUGCCAGCCCUGCUCACCUUUGCUCCUCAGGCUCCCCAAGCUCCUCUGCAGCUGCUGCUCUGCCCAGCUCCUGGCACGGACCACAGCCCCUCCGAGUGCCUGAGACUCCUGGAGGAGAUGGGCACUGACAUGAGAGACACUAUUGCAAUGACAAGAAGGAAGAUGUGGCAUUAGCUUUGCCUCCCUUCAGCUGCCUGAAAAGCCAAAGCGAAAUCCAGGCCUGUCAGCAGGAGCCGGAGAGCAGCCGGCAGGAGGAGCUCGCUGGACACGCCGCUGGAUCGCUCCCAGGCACUCACAGACGCGUCUCAAGGGCAUCGCGUUAGAUCUGCCUUCUUGGGACUUCCUUGCAGACAAACCACCAACAGCUCAAGGCAGAGCAAACUUCGUGGUAUUGCAGCCGAGCAGCCCCAGUGAUUUAUACUAAACGUGUUUUAGACUUUUCUCAGCUUGUUUCUCCCGCCAUCGUGCUUUUACCUUUUACCUUAGUUUAGAUACUUAAGGUGUUCAGGAAGAUGCUGAGGAUGCCUUUUAGUCCCUAGAAGCAGCCAAGUAUUUUAUUUUCCAAGAAAGUUAGUGUAAGAUUUCUUGGACAGCAUCCUAACCACGGAUUAAAGAAUUCAAAAACAAUGUUUGUCUUAGCAUAGGAAGAUAUCCUCCUGGAGUCCUCAUGACCUCUGAGGGGACCUCCAAGCAAAAAGCUCUGAAAUGUAUCAGUACCACUCUGAGUAUUGGCUUGACAAAGUUAUUCAAGCACUUCUGCCUCCCUGUAUACAGUUCACCUUUGUCCUCUGUGAGAAGCGGGCACAGAGGACAGUUGUAGCUCUUUUGCACAACACAGUGUUCUCAUUAGUUAGGUGCAAAGUGUCACUCUGCUUCUUAGGGCCAAUCCUGCAGCCCUGAAUUUCACAAUCCCCAUGGUCGUGCCUCUGCACCACCUUUAAAAAUAAUUAAGAUUUUUUUUUUUUAAGUUAGCGAAUUCUUUGCUUUUGUAACUCUGUUCCUCAUUUAGUUACUAAAUGGGAGCUGGUUGCCUUCUGGUCCUGAAUG